GCACGACGACAUAUGUGUCAUUGUUUUUGAAUCAAUUUUAGUCCUUUUCAAAAAUGAGCACUAGCUUUCGAACCGCUAAUGUGUGGGACGCAACGUUGGAGUUUAGGAUCAUCCGAGUGUAAAAAGGAAACCAAGACAGAGACCACUCUAAUACAAGAAUAGAUGGAUGGUUAUAUAAACCUCGGUCAACAGACGUCAACAGCUAGAUUUGUAUCAUGGUAUCCGGAUUACACAGAACGAAGCAGGAAUAUGAUUCGGGUGAUCGUCCAACCAUGCCGUACGAAGGUCCAUCAUACAAGGAAAUUUCCCUGGUUCACCUUAUUCUCCGGGGAAGAGGAAUAGCUAAAGUAUGAUAUGGUUCACACGUCAUUGAAGUUUUUGUUCCUAUUAUCUUUUGCAUGGAGAAGUGUGCCUAUUCGAUCUAGCACACGCAAGUGGAUCUAACCUACUAAGGCUUCCUGGCACGGUGUCGAAGUCAGUCCGGCGAUUUCGGGUGGAACGUUGCGUCCAGUUGUCUGGCACUUCGACGACCCGCAACUGGCGAGCACCACAAUACAACGUUUUGACAUUGAAGAUCCAUGAUUCAUUGCACAGAAAGGUAAACUGGCUUGGAAUGCAUUGUAUCCGCAACAAUAAUCUGCUUGACGGUGAUGUUUGUGAUGAGAACAUUGUCAUAUUUCUACCGCGGCAAAAAUCAUUCAAUUUAUUCGUAGAUACUGUGGAGAAUAUUAUUACACUCGGAAAGAUUAAUGUCAAAAAUGUAUAAUGAAAAAAUUAAAAGGAAAUUAUAUAUUUUAUUUAUAAGCAUUAACAUUGUUAUAAUUCCACAGUUUACUAUUUAUAUAUGACUCCAAUCAAGAGUAAAUUUAAAGAUUUAAAUAAAUCGCAAUAAAUUGAAAUAAA